UCUCAACAAUAUUUCUAGAUCAUGGUUGUACAUGCAUCAGUCAAAGAGAUUUGGGUGGGGAAGAUUGAUGAGUUUGAUUAGGUAAUUAAUGGAGUUAUGGUUCCCUUUUGACCGAGUAUGAGGGAGAAGUUUGAAUUUAAGCAUUUUAUGUUGUAUUUUAUGUUGUAUUUAAUUAGCUAUAGCUAAAUAGGAGGCACAAAAUUGGUUAAAUAUUGGUGAGUUUAGUUAAACCUUAAUGCUAUAAAUAGGAGCUAUCAUCUUAACAUUUUUUUUCAUUCACUAAAAGCCAAAUAGCUAUCCACCAUACUCUCUCUUGCCAUCUUUUAUAGUCAAUUACUUAUUUUUUUUUUCAAGAGCCAAAAUAGCCAUACACACCAUCAUAAUUACUACAAGCUUUAAACACCAACGUCCUCUCAUAAACAUCACCAUCAUUAUCCCAUACAUAUAUACAUCCCCUUUAUCAUAUCGACAUCACUAUCGCCACUAUUUUUACAUUCAAAUUUUAGUGCUCAACUAGAUCUCAUUGGAAGCUAAUUAAGGUUUUUCAUAGGAUAAUUAUUUUUCAAGGGUCACUUUCAUUGCAAUCAAGGCUAGGACUCCACAUUCGAGACCAAGAUAACUGAAAGUUUAGAAAGCCGGUGGCGAGUGGAACUUUGAACGCUUGUGUGUGUGAACUUGCUGAGGACCAUAUAACUGCGGGCGGUCUAGGGCGCUCUGUUUAUUUAUUUACGUUAUUAAACUUAUGUCGCAAUUAUUUAAGUUAUUAAUUAUUAUGUUUU